rnacentral:rRNA from 1 species
UACGUAGGGUGCAAGCGUUGCCCGGAUUUAUUGGGCGUAAAGGGCGCGUAGGCGGCUCUGCACGUCCGUUGUGAAAUCGCCCGGCUCAACUGGGCGGGGUCAGCGGAUACGGCAGAGCUUGAGCAAGCUAGGGGGCAAUGGAAUUCCCGGUGUAGUGGUGGAAUGCGUAGAUAUCGGGAGGAACACCAGUGGCGAAGGCGGCUCACUGGCCCGAUACUGACGCUGAGGCACGAAAGCGUGGGGAGCAAACAGG